rnacentral:lncRNA from 1 species
CAAGACGGCAGUGUGGUGCUUGCGCUCUCACUCAGCAACAGGCAAUUAGCUGGAGCCAUGACUGUUGGUGAUGUUCUUUCCUUCCAGAAGAUGUCUGGAAACCUUUCACUAUAUGGUCAUACAGCUUUCACACAAUGGACCAGAAAAGGUAUCAAUGAAGUGGAGGGUAAGACAAGUACAGAACAUCCAGACAAUUUUUUUUUUUUUUUUUUCUUCUGAGUAUCAUGUUCCCAGAAGUCAUCCUUCCUGGCAUUCACAUUGUGGAGGUAUCAUACAGCAACACUGGAAGUAUUCUCAUUGUGUCCAGUAUCUUAUGAGGAAUCCAGUUCUCAGCACUACCUCAUUCCUCAUCUAA